rnacentral:tRNA from 1 species
GGAAGAGUGGCAGAGUGGCCGAUUGCGCCUGUCUUGAAAACAGGAAGCCCAGCAAUGGGUUCGUGGGUUCGAAUCCUACCUCUUCCG